rnacentral:tRNA from 1 species
GCACUGGUAGCAAAGUGGACUAAUGCGUUCGGCUGCAAACCGAAAUUCCGUCGGUUCGAAUCCGACCCAGUGCUCCA